rnacentral:rRNA from 1 species
ACAUACAAGUAGUAGGAAAGGAAACUGGACGACCCUUCGGGAGCUUGUACAGGUGCUGCAUGGCUGUCGUCAGCUCGUGUCGUGAGAUGUUCGGUUAAGUCCGCUAACGAGCGCAACCCUCGCUGUGUGUUACAAGUGUCACACGGAACUGCCGGUCAUAAACCGGAGGAAGGUGGGAUGACGUCAAGUCAGCAUGGCCUUUAUAUCCUGGGCUACACACACGCUACAAUGGGAAGGGACAAUAGGUUGCGAAGCCGCGAGGCGGAGCCAAUCCAGCAAAACUUCCCUCAGUUCAGAUUGCAGGCUGCAACCCGCCUGCAUGAAGUUGGAGUUGCUAGUAAACGCAGGUCAGCCAUACUGCGUUGAAUACGUUCCCGGGGCUU